UCUUCCGAUCGAGAAAAAGACACAUUUAUUCAGCGUCAUGAUCAGACUAUUACAUUUAGCAAUCAACAGCAUGGGUGCAAAAAAAAAACCCUACAUUAAAAGCCUUUGUUGGAAUGCUUUACACUUUCCA